CUCAUUUAUGACAUGUCCUCUCUAUUCUGAUGAAAAUCAAGAAUUUUACCGAUAGGUGCAAACAGUAUAUCCUCUUUUGCAACCCAGAACUCACUGCUAAAUAUGAGAUUUUGGUACAUGUAAGAAGGAAUAUU